rnacentral:SRP_RNA from 1 species
GCCGGGCACAGUGGUGUGUACCUGUAAUCCCAGCUACUCAGGAGGCUGAGGCAGGAGGAUCCCUUGAACCUGGGAGGUGGAGGUUGCAGUGAGCCGAGAUCAUGCCACUGCACUCCAGCCUGGGCAACAGAGGGAGACCCUGUCUCAA